rnacentral:rRNA from 1 species
GACGAACGCUGGCGGCGUGCUUAACACAUGCAAGUCGAGCGAUGAACCUUUCAUGAUCUAUUCGUAGAGAUUGGAAGAGGAUUAGCGGCGGACGGGUGAGUAACGCGUGAGCAACCUGCCUUAAACAACGGGAUAGCCUCGGGAAACCGGGAUUAAUACCGUAUGAGACCCCAGUACCACAUGGUAAAGAGGUUAAAGAUUUAUCGGUUUAAGAUGGGCUCGCGUCUGAUUAGCUAGUUGGUGAGAUAAAAGCUCACCAAGGCGACGAUCAGUAACCGGCUUGAGAGAGUGAACGGUCACAUUGGAACUGAGACACGGUCCAAACUCCUACGGGAGGCAGCAGUGGGGAAUAUUGCACAAUGGGGGAAACCCUGAUGCAGCGACGCCGCGUGAGCGAUGAAGGAAUUCGUUUCGUAAAGCUCUGUCCUAGGGGAAGAUAAUGACAGUACCCUUGGAGGAAGCCCCGGCUAAAUACGUG